rnacentral:lncRNA from 1 species
UCUACCACCACACAUUCACUCACACACACACUGUAAUUUAUCUCUCUACCACCAUAACCAUCACCGCACCACCACCACCCCCACCACCGCACCACCAUCAUCCCUACCGCACCAUCAUCAGCACCACCACACCACCAUCAUCCUCACCAUCGCACGACCAUCGUCCCCUCAAUCCACCAUCAUCCCCACCAAAAUAGCUUUGCAGAUCCGGCGAAAAAUACACAGAUCCGGACCAAACUGUCCAGAUCCAACGGCAAGAGAUAGAGUUCCGAGAGUUACCGGGUACGCCUCCACCGCUGAUAAAAGCUUAAUCGAUCUUGCUGAAACCGCCUACAGCAGCCACUCCAUUGUUUCUGAAGAGCUGUUGUUGCUUAAUUGUAGAAGAAAACAGAGUGUGCGUGUGGUUGUUUGUGUUGAGAGAAUUUUAUAGAGUCUUGCCUUUAAAAUGGAAAUGAAAGAGCAGACUUUUGUGUUUGAGAAUUAUAUUUGAGUGGGCUAAUGAAAGCGGUAAGGGUGGAUGGUGGAGGUGAGAUGGUGGUGGGUGGUGUGGUGUUGAUGGUGGAGGUCAGACGGUGAUGGAGGGUUUUCAAUAGCGGUGGUAAGACAGUGGUGGGUGGUGUCGGUGUCGGUGGUGGUGGUGUUGAUGGUUGUGGGGGAUGCAGGUGAUGAACAUUCAGAGAUAUAUAAGAAAGAUGUAAUAAUAUUUUUUUUUAUUAUAAGGGUAAAGAAGAAGACACAGGGGCAUUUUAGUCUUUUAAUAGAAAACUAACAGAAAAUAUGGAUGAUGUUAGAAAUUUGGACUCAAAUGGUUAAGAAAAAUGCUUAUAGGGACUCAGGUCGUUAAACUUUUUGCUUUUGGACUCAACUAGUUAAAACCUAUAAAACACAGGGACUCAAAAAGUAAUUUACCCUAAAUAUUAAAACAUUGUGUACAAGUCAUAAAUAAACUUAUUAUAGUAAAUAUUAUUGGUUAUGAUACCUUUACUACAAGUGUACAGCCAAUGAUCUUUAGAUCAAGUGGUGGAAGGCUUGCAUUUCUCUUGAGAGACGCAGGUUCAACUUCCACUUGGUGCAGAGUGAGACAGAGUGAGACACUGGUGGGCAAUGAUAGGAGACCCUGGAAACCUGGGUUCGAUCCUUGAGCCAAACGGGUUUUACCGGUAAUUUCACCGUCGUGCCUACGGGCGGGUGGGUUAACGGGUUUUCCCCGGAAUUGGUGGUGGACUCAGGUUGCUCUCGGAGUACUCCGUUUGGUCCAGUGGGUGUCCCGAAAGUACUCGGGAUUGAUUCUGUUGGC